GAUGAAGAACGCAGCGAAAUGCGAUAAGUAAUGUGAAUUGCAGAAUUCAGUGAAUCAUCGAAUCUUUGAACGCACAUUGCGCCCAUUAGUAUUCUAGUGGGCAUGCCUGUUCGAGCGUCAUUAAUUCCACUUAAGCCCUGCUUAGUGUUGGGAAUCUAUUCUAGUGGUGCUACCCUGGAGCUACCCCUGAAAGGGGGCUGGCCCGGUAGUUACCCUGUAGUUCCUCAAAGAUAGUGCGCGGAGUUGCGUGGUCCUCUGAGCUUAGUAACUAUACACCUAGCUUUUGAGUGUCCCGCGGCGCCUGCCGUUUAAACCCCAUCUUUUAAUGGUUGACCUCGGAUCAGGUAGGAAUACCCGCUGAACUUAAGCAUAUCAAUAAGCGGAGGA
rnacentral:misc_RNA from 1 species